rnacentral:rRNA from 1 species
UACGGGGGGGCAAGCGUUGUUCGGAAUUACUGGGCGUAAAGGGCCAGUAGGCGGCCAACUAAGUCGGAUGUGAAAUCCCCAGGCUCAACCUGGGAACUGCAUCCGAUACUGGAUGGCUUGAAUUCGGGAGAGGGAUGCAGAAUUCCAGGUGUAGCGGUGAAAUGCGUAGAUAUCUGAAGGAACAUCAGUGGCGAAAGCGACUUCCUGGACCAAUACUGACGCUCAUGUGCGAAAGCGUGGGGAGCAAACAGG